GAGACACCCAUGGCAACCUGAUUGCCAAGCUGUGCCUCCCUCUCAGCCCCCCAGAUCUGGUGUCAUCUUUACAGUUUGCCAUUGACGGUUUGCCUUUACGAAUAAAAGGAUAUCAGAGUUUUGAGUUGGAGGGACACGGGAGCAUCUAAAGUGCCGUAUCAUGAUUCAAAGGUACAGGAAAAAAAGGCAAAUGAUGCCCGCGUGUGGGAUCUGCAACAGCCAUUUUGCAACCAUGAAGGAUGACCUGCCACCAAAUGGGACAACCUGAGACCUCGGUGACCAGCCCCGCCUCCCUCUGGACUUCUUGCAAAGUGACAUAGUAAGGCCUGCAUUGUUUCAGCCACUUUUCAUUUGAUAAUCCAUUACUUGUAGCUAAGAGCGUUCCAGGCACUAUGCAGGGUACCCACACACCAUG